rnacentral:rRNA from 1 species
AUUGAACGCUGGCGGCAUGCCUUACACAUGCAAGUCGAACGGCAGCGCGGGAGCAAUCCUGGCGGCGAGUGGCGAACGGGUGAGUAAUAUAUCGGAACGUGCCCAGUAGUGGGGGAUAGCCCGGCGAAAGCCGGAUUAAUACCGCAUGAGACCUGAGGGUGAAAGCGGGGGAUUGCAAGACCUCGCGCUACUGGAGCGGCCGAUAUCAGAUUAGCUAGUUGGUGGGGUAAAAGCCUACCAAGGCGACGAUCUGUAGCUGGUCUGAGAGGACGACCAGCCACACUGGGACUGAGACACGGCCCAGACUCCUACGGGAGGCAGCAGUGGGGAAUUUUGGACAAUGGGGGCAACCCUGAUCCAGCCAUGCCGCGUGCGGGAAGAAGGCCUCGGUGUAACGCUUUGUC